ACAAGGGCAGCAAGAAUGUUGCUGUUAAAGAUUUUUGUUCUGGCUACGGUUUGCUCCUAUGGCUCCUCGCAGGUGCGUCUGACCCAACCUCAGCUGUCCAUCACUAGGGAAGGAAAUAAAACCUUACGAAUUGACUGUCAUGUUUCUCUAUCUGAGGAUUUUGGCAAGGAUCCUAUACACUGGUAUAGACAGAGACCCGGUGCAGCUCCAGAGCGGAUUCUGUUCAUCUCAGUGCUAUCUGCCUCAGAUGGAGGCUUGGAGAAAGGAAAGUUUAAUGCUGAAAAGAAGUUUGGUCAGUGUACACUUAGAGUGACCAUAAACAAAACCUCCAGUGACAUUUCUACUUACUAUUGUGCCUAUUGGGAUCGCACAGUGUUAGAAAACUGUAGACAGCCUGUACAUAAACCCACUCUGCAUUCUGAGCCACAGCCUUCAUUGGCUUCUGCAGCUAGAUAUGAACAGCAACUGCUGAUUUAG